rnacentral:rRNA from 1 species
GAUGAACGCUGGCGGCGUGCCUAAUACAUGCAAGUCGAGCGAACAGACGAGAGUGCUUGCACUCUCUGACGUUAGCGGCGGACGGGUGAGUAACACGUGGGUAACCUACCUAUAAGACUGGGAUAACUUCGGGAAACCGGAGCUAAUACCGGAUAAUAUUUAGCUUCGCAUGAAGCAAUAGUGAAAGACGGUUCUGCUGUCACUUAUAGAUGGACCCGCGGUGUAUUAGCUAGUUGGUGAGGUAACGGCUCACCAAGGCAACGAUACAUAGCCGACCUGAGAGGGUGAUCGGCCACACUGGGACUGAGACACGGCCCAGACUCCUACGGGAGGCAGCAGUAGGGAAUCUUCCGCAAUGGACGAAAGUCUGACGGAGCAAUGCCGCGUGAGUGAAGAAGGUUUUCGGAUCGUAAAACUCUGUUGCAAGGGAAGAACAAGUACGUUAGUAACUGAACGUACCUUGACGGUACCUGACCAGAAAGCCACGGCUAACUACGUG